rnacentral:rRNA from 1 species
AGUGAACGCUGGCGGUAGGCCUAACACAUGCAAGUCGAACGGCAGCACAGUAAGAGCUUGCUCUUACGGGUGGCGAGUGGCGGACGGGUGAGGAAUACAUCGGAAUCUACUUUUUCGUGGGGGAUAACGUAGGGAAACUUACGCUAAUACCGCAUACGACCUACGGGUGAAAGCAGGGGAUCUUCGGACCUUGCGCGAUUGAAUGAGCCGAUGUCGGAUUAGCUAGUUGGCGGGGUAAAGGCCCACCAAGGCGACGAUCCGUAGCUGGUCUGAGAGGAUGAUCAGCCACACUGGAACUGAGACACGGUCCAGACUCCUACGGGAGGCAGCAGUGGGGAAUAUUGGACAAGGGGCGAAAGCCUGAUCCAGCCAUACCGCGUGGGUGAAGAAGGCCUUCGGGUUGUAAAGCCUUUUUGUUGGGAAAGAAAAGCAGAAGGUUAAUACCCCGCUGUUCUGACGGUACCAAAAGAAUAAGCACCGGCUAACUUCGUG